rnacentral:rRNA from 1 species
AUUGAACGCUGGCGGCAUGCCUUACACAUGCAAGUCGAACGGCAGCACGGGAGCAAUCCUGGUGGCGAGUGGCGAACGGGUGAGUAAUAUAUCGGAACGUGCCCAGUCGUGGGGGAUAACGCAGCGAAAGCUGUGCUAAUACCGCAUACGAUCUAUGGAUGAAAGCGGGGGAUCGCAAGACCUCGCGCGAUUGGAGCGGCCGAUAUCAGAUUAGGUAGUUGGUGGGGGAAAGGACCACCAAGCCGACGAUCUGUAGCUGGUCUGAGAGGACGACCAGCCACACUGGAACUGAGACACGGUCCAGACGCCUACGGGAGGCAGCAGUGGGGAAUUUUGGACAAUGGGCGCAAGCCUGAUCCAGCAAUGCCGCGUGCAGGAUGAAGGCCUUCAGGUUGUAAACUGCUUUUGUACGGAACGAAAAGGCUCUGGUUAAUACCUGGGGCUCAUGACGGUACCGUAAGAAUAAGCACCGGCUAACUACGUGCCAGCCGCCGCAGUAACAC